UACGUAGGGGGCUAGCGUUGUCCGGAAUCAUUGGGCGUAAAGAGCGUGUAGGCGACCCGGUAAGUCCGCUGUAAAAGUCAAAGGCUCAACCUUUGAAUGUCAGUGGAUACUGCCGGGCUAGAGUCCGGAAGAGGCGAGUGGAACUCCUGGUGUAGCGGUGGAAUGCGCAGAUAUCAGGAAGAACACCAACGGCGAAGGCAGCUCGCUGGGACGGUACUGACGCUGAGACGCGAAAGCGUGGGGAGCGAACAGG
rnacentral:rRNA from 1 species